rnacentral:rRNA from 1 species
AUUGAACGCUGGCGGCAUGCCUUACACAUGCAAGUCGAACGGCAGCGCGGGGCAACCUGGCGGCGAGUGGCGAACGGGUGAGUAAUAUAUCGGAACAUACCCUAGAGUGGGGAUAACGUAGCGAAAGUUACGCUAAUACCGCAUACGCACUAAGGUGGAAAGUGGGGGAUUCGCAAGAACCUCAUGCUCAUGGAGUGGCCGAUAUCUGAUUAGCUAGUUGGUGAGGUAAAGGCUCACCAAGGCAACGAUCAGUAGCUGGUUUGAGAGAACGACCAGCCACACUGGAACUGAGACACGGUCCAGACUCCUACGGGAGGCAGCAGUGGGGAAUUUUGGACAAUGGGGGCAACCCUGAUCCAGCAAUGCCGCGUGAGUGAAGAAGGUCUUCGGGUUGUAAAGCUCUUUUGUCAGGGAAGAAACGGUGAGAGCUAAUAUCUCUUGCUAAUGACGGUAUCUGAAGAAUAAGCACCGGCUAACUACGUGCCAGCAGCCG